AAAGGCUAAUACAGCCUUUGCACAUGACCUUUGGUGACAAUGUGGUGCCAGGCUGCAAUAAUGGAUUCAAGCAGCUCCUGCUUGGUCUU